rnacentral:rRNA from 1 species
CCUGGCUCAGAUUGAACGCUGGCGGCAUGCCUAACACAUGCAAGUCGAACGGCAGCAUGACCUAGCUUGCUAGGUUGAUGGCGAGUGGCGGACGGGUGAGUAACGCGUAGGAAUAUACCUUAAAGAGGGGGAUAACUUGGGGAAACUCAAGCUAAUACCGCGUAAGUUCUGAGGAAGAAAGCUGGGGACCUUCGGGCCUGGCGCUUUAAGAUUAGCCU